CGAGUGCCCGUAAAUUCGGGCUGUCCGCCAGUGUAAAUAACUGGUGAAGAAAGGGCCGGGCAAGACCGGUGCCAGCCGCCGCGGUAAUACCGGCGGCUCGAGUGGUGGCCACUAUUACUGGGCUUAAAGCGUCCGUAGCUGGAUUGUUAAGUCUCUUGGGAAAUCCACCGGCUCAACCGAUGGGCGUUCAGGAGAAACUGGCAAUCUAGGGACCGGGAGAGGUGAGAGGUACUCCAGGGGUAGGAGUGAAAUCCUGUAAUCCUUGGGGGACCACCUGUGGCGAAGGCGUCUCACUAGAACGGCUCCGACAGUGAGGGACGAAAGCUGGGGGAGCAAACCGGAUUAGAUACCCGGGUAGUCCCAGCUGUAAACGAUGCGCGUUAGGUGUAUCGGUGACCACGAGUCAUCGAGGUGCCGAAGGGAAACCGUGAAACGUGCCG
rnacentral:rRNA from 1 species